CACGUAGGGCGCGAGCGUUGUCCGGAAUUAUUGGGCGUAAAGAGCUCGUAGGCGGCCUGUUGCGUCCGCUGUGAAAGCCCGGGGCUUAACCCCGGGUCUGCAGUGGAUACGGGCAGGCUAGAGGUAGGUAGGGGAGAAUGGAAUUCCCGGUGUAGCGGUGAAAUGCGCAGAUAUCGGGAGGAACACCGGUGGCGAAGGCGGCUCUCUGGGACGGUACUGACGCUGAGACGCGAAAGCGUGGGGAGCGAACAGG
rnacentral:rRNA from 1 species